rnacentral:rRNA from 1 species
GAUGAACGCUGGCGGCGUGCCUAAUACAUGCAAGUCGAGCGAACAGACGAGGAGCUUGCUCCUCUGACGUUAGCGGCGGACGGGUGAGUAACACGUGGAUAACCUACCUAUAAGACUGGGAUAACUUCGGGAAACCGGAGCUAAUACCGGAUAAUCUAUUGAACCGCAUGGUUCAAUAGUGAAAGCCGGUUUUGCUGUCACUUAUAGAUGGAUCCGCGCCGCAUUAGCUAGUUGGUAAGGUAACGGCUUACCAAGGCGACGAUGCGUAGCCGACCUGAGAGGGUGAUCGGCCACACUGGAACUGAGACACGGUCCAGACUCCUACGGGAGGCAGCAGUAGGGAAUCUUCCGCAAUGGGCGAAAGCCUGACGGAGCAACGCCGCGUGAGUGAUGAAGGUCUUCGGAUCGUAAAACUCUGUUAUUAGGGAAGAACAAAUGUGUAAGUAACUAUGCACGUCUUGACGGUACCUAAUCAGAAAGCCACGGCUAACUACGUG